AUUGAACGCUGGCGGCAGGCCUAACACAUGCAAGUCGAACGAGUGGCGGACGGGUGAGUAAUGUCUGGGCACCUGCCUGAUGGAGGGGGCUAACUACUGGAAACGGUAGCUAAUACCGCAUACCACCCGUUGUGCCCAGAUUGGAUUAGCUAGUUGGUGGGGUAAAGGCGCACCAAGGCGUCGAUCCCUAGCUGGUCUGAGAGGAUGACCGGCCACACUGGAACUGAGACACGGUCCAGACUCCUACGGGAGGCAGCAGUGGGGAAUAUUGCACAAUGGGCGCAAGCCUGAUGCAGCCAUGCCGCGUGUAUGAAGAAGGCCUUCGGGUUGUAAAGUACUUUCAGCGGGGAGGCGUUACCCGCAGAAGAAGCACCGGCUAACUCCGUGCCAGCAGCCGCGGUAAUUC
rnacentral:rRNA from 1 species